rnacentral:rRNA from 1 species
UACGAAGGGGGCUAGCGUUGCUCGGAAUCACUGGGCGUAAAGCGCACGUAGGCGGAUUGCUAAGUCAGGGGUGAAAUCCUGGAGCUCAACUCCAGAACUGCCUUUGAUACUGGCGAUCUCGAGUCCGGGAGAGGUGAGUGGAACUGCGAGUGUAGAGGUGAAAUUCGUAGAUAUUCGCAAGAACACCAGUGGCGAAGGCGGCUCACUGGCCCGGUACUGACACUGAGGUGCGAAAGCGUGGGGAGCAAACAGG